UCACCCCUCAAGCCCCGGCUUGGUGUUGGGCUCCCGGUGGUCGUACCCGACCACCCGCCUCAAAGAUAGUGACGGCGUCCCAGAGGGAACCGGUACGAGGAGCUUUCACGAGCAUGUACGCGGGACGACUCUGCGGGCGACGGUCUUUUUUAACUUAAUAAAG
rnacentral:misc_RNA from 1 species